AGAUCACAUUCAGGUGUUGAAUCAUGAAGAUUUUUGGUAUUAUUGUGGCCAUCGCGGCUAUUGUGUUCGCUGCUGUGAGCGGCCAGGGUCCGCCGGAGCCACCAUCAGGCUCACCCCCUGGACCUCCUCCUUCCAACAUUACCAGUUAAAUGCAACAAGACAAUCGAAGCAUCUUUUCAAUUCAGCAAAGUUAUAACUAUUAUAAAUAAACUGUUACA